ACAUGGAUAAUAAUAAUAUUUUAUUUUAUUUUGCACAAAAUCUGUAUAUUCGAAUGAUUCCUGAAGGAUCACAAAUUCCAUUACAUGAAUAAAUUACAUUUUAAAUGAUUUUAAAAUAGGAAUUAGUUCUUUUAAAUUGUAAUAAUAUUUCACCAUAUUACUGUUUUUAUUGUAUUUUUCAUAAAAGUAAAUGCAGCCUUGGUAAACAUAAGAGACUUUUUUCAAAAAUCUUAAUUCCAGAUGUUUGACUGGUAGGGUGAAUAUAUUUAUUGUCACUGAUGUACCUGGAAACAGGUGUGGAGCAGAGUGAGGUGUGUGGUCAGUGGUCAACCAGGACCUUUAACCCCAUGUUCAGAGUCUGUGGCGCCUUCUACUCUGAGAUACAGGAGACGAGGUGGAAGAGAUGCGAUUGGCCCCUGCCCCGUCAUCAUCAAGGAUACAGGUUGGCAAGGAGGAAUCGGACAUUAAUGCGGUCGGCUAACUGUGUCAAGGACGCAGAAGCCAAACCUGGUACAGUUCACCUGUGAGAGACCUGAGAGCACGAACGCAGAGAGGAACUGACCCACUAAACCAACUUACAACUCUACAUUCUGCACUCUUCCGUAAAUUAAAGGUAAAGUUCCCCAGAAAAUGAAAGCUUAUCAUUGUUUACGCACUGUUAUUUCGGUCGAAUGCAAAAAUAAUUUUCAUAUAGAUCAUUUCCAUACAAUGACAUUUCAUAGUGGACAGGCUGUCAAGCUCCAAAAAGGACAAAAAUUGCACAAUAAAAGUAGUCUGUUUGGUAAUAUUUUGAGUCUU
ensembl:lncRNA